UACGUAGGGGGCAAGCGUUGUCCGGAAUCAUUGGGCGUAAAGAGCGUGUAGGCGGCUCGAUAAGUCCGCUGUGAAAGUCCAGGGCUCAACCCUGGAAGGCCGGUGGAAACUGUCGGGCUAGAGUCCGGAAGAGGCGAGUGGAAUUCCCGGUGUAGCGGUGAAAUGCGCAGAUAUCGGGAGGAACACCAGUGGCGAAGGCAGCUCGCUGGGACGGUACUGACGCUGAGACGCGAAAGCGUGGGGAGCAAACAGG
rnacentral:rRNA from 1 species